GAUGAACGUUGGCGGCGUGGAUUAGGCAUGCAAGUCGAGCGAGAACCGGUUUCGGCCGGGGACAGCGGCGAACGGCGUAGUAAUGCAUCGGAACGUACCCUCUGGUCGGGGAUAGCUACGGGAAACUGUAGGUAAUACCCGAUGAUCUCUGCGGAGCAAAGGUGAGAUUCCGCCGGAGGAGCGGCUGAUGUGAUAUUAGCUAGUUGGUGGGGUAAUGGCCUACCAAGGCGAUGAUGUCUAGGGGGUGUGAGAGCAUGGCCCCCACGACCGGAACUGAGAUACUGUCCGGACACCUACGGGUGGCUGCAGUCGAGAAUCUUCCGCAAUGGACGAAAGUCUGACGGAGCGACGCCGCGUGCGGGAUGAAGGCCCUUGGGUUGUAAACCGCUGUCAGAGGGGAUGAAAUCUUCGGAGGUACUCCUCCGAAGUUGACAGAGCCUCAAAGGAAGCACGGGCUAAGUACGUGCCAGCCGCCGCCGUAACAC
rnacentral:rRNA from 1 species